AAAGCUGCCCAGAUUCAGGCACAGACCCUCUCUCUCCACGAGAGGGGAGUCAGAGCACUUGUGGGCAUGUUUACAACUCCACAGGGAGGGCAUCGAUACCUGGCCAUGCCUGCCGCACCCCCCCACCCCCCCGGGCCAUGGGAAGCUGGGACAGUGAGUGUGGAACGCUAACGGGACAACUCAGACUCAGGUUAGCGCUGACCUCAGCAGCCCAUCACUGCCUCUUGGCCAAAAGAAAAAACUUUCCCCCUAUUUAUUUAUUUAGGCUGUGCUGGAUCUCAGUUGCCACACACGGGCUUUUCCAGCUGUGGCAUGAGUACUUAGUCGCAGUAUGUGAGGCCUUCAUUCCCUGAACAGGGCUUGGACCCUGGCCCCUCCACUGGCAGAGCAGCGUCUCAGUCACUGGUCAGCAGGGGAAGCCCGUUGGCGGGGUCUGGGGUGCUGGUCCGGGAGGACACGCUCCUGGUGGCCAGCAGGGGGCGCCCAGCAGCCCUUGGCGUCCCCAGGUCAGCAGCGGGCAGGAGAGGGUGCCUCUCUGGACACCGUCUGCCUCCACUGCCCAGCAAGGAGCCCUCGAGGGGGCCCCAGCUGUGUCCACACCCCUCCCUACGGACUCCAAAUAGGCUGUUGCUGGUUUUCCUUGCUUCUCACCAGCUGCGCCAGCUCCACGAGCCCCCUGGGGCCACACCCCAGGCGGGGCUCCGGCACUGGCUUUGCAACCUGGCGGGUCGCGAGCUGGGACAAACCACACCCCUGGUCUGGACUUUGGGCUUCCCCAGAGGUGUGGGCUGUGAUCCCGAGGCCUGUGUGCAGGUGUUUGAAGCAUCAGAUCGUUCUCUCUGGCUGUCCCAGCUCUCAGCUGCAGCACGCGGGGUCUCGUUCCCCGAUCGGGGGUCGCACUCAGCCUUGUCGCCGCUGGGCCACCAGAGAAGUCCUGCGGCGUCAGCAAGAAAGACAGAAAGAAAACACAGCCUGUGGCAGCCAUCCAGAACCAGGGCCUUCAGAGGCAGAGGGGAGAGCGAGGCCUUGGGGCAUGGAGUUGCCGGGAGGGACCACUUUUCAGGGAAUCGGCCGUUAAACUUCUCAGGACUCGGGGGAGCCUGGCCUUGGGUGCAGCCUGGUGACCUGAUGGCACAGGCCUGUGGGCUGAGCACUGUGUGACACUAUGGGCACCAAGCAGGCUGUGAUGGCACUGGGGGGCACCCUGGCGGCUCAGCCCUUCCGUGGCCCCCUUGCCUUAUCCGCUCUCUGUACCUGGGCACCGCUUCAGUUUCCCUGCUCUGGACCUCUUACCGUGCCUGUCUCCUGAAUCCUCCUUUCUGGGCCCAGACAGUUGAAGAGAUGGCCCCAAAUGGCAGUGCCACCAGCUUUCUGACCUGGCAGACUGCCACCACCUGGAUGCCACUGUCCAGGCCCCAGCCUGGGAUGGACCUCUGAUGGGCUGACAUUUGCCAAGUCAGGCCCAGACUGAACAAAACAGAAGCUUCAAUCCCAACUCUGCCUUUCUCUCUGUGUGACGACGGGCGAGACACAGAUCUUUCUGAACCUCAAUGUUCUCAUCUGCAAAAUGGAAAAUACACUAAUAAAGCUGUAAUAAGUCGUGGGGGUGAAUCCUGU
rnacentral:lncRNA from 1 species